rnacentral:rRNA from 1 species
GAUGAACGCUGGCGGCGUGCUUAACACAUGCAAGUCGAACGAUGAAGCCCAGCUUGCUGGGUGGAUUAGUGGCGAACGGGUGAGUAACACGUGAGUAACCUGCCCUUGACUCUGGGAUAAGCCUGGGCAACUGGGUCUAAUACUGGAUAUGACUUCUCAUCGCAUGGUGGGGGGAGGAGUGAUUUAUGGGUCUUGGGUGGACUCGCGGCCUAUCCGCUUGUUGGUGAGGUAAUGGCUCACCAAGGCGACGACGGGUAGCCGGCCUGAGAGGGUGACCGGCCACACUGGGCCUGCGACACGGCCCAGACUCCUACGGGAGGCAGCAGUGGAGAAUAUUGCACAAUGGGCGCAAGCCUGAUGCAGCGACGCCGCGUGAGGGAUGACGGCCUUCGGGUUGUAAACCUCUUUCAGUAGGGAAGAAGCGAGAGUGACGGUACCUGCAGAAGAAGCGCCGGCUAACUACGUG